UACGUAUGGGGCAAGCGUUAUCCGGAUUCAUUGGGCGUAAAGAGCGCGUAGGCGGACUGUUAAGCGAGGUGUGAAAACCGGGGGCUCAACCCGCGGCCUGCAUCUCGAACUGGCAGUCUUGAGUCUGGUAGAGGAGUGUGGAAUUCCUAGUGUAGCGGUGAAAUGCGCAGAUAUUAGGAGGAACACCAGUGGCGAAGGCGGCACUCUGGGCCACGACUGACGCUGAGGCGCGAAAGCUAGGGGAGCAAACAGG
rnacentral:rRNA from 1 species